AAAAAUUCAAGGUAAAUUAGAGAUAUUUUCCUUCUGAUAAGACUUGCAGCCAGUCCAAAUGAUAGUGACUGUUUUGUCUUCUCUUUGCAAUUUCCUCCCUUCUCAAGCAUCCAUGAUUCGUGAACGUAACAACCAUCUCUACCAACUCACCCUCCUAAACUUCCAUCAUUCCAAGUAAUUCCCAUUUUACCUUCCAUGGCUGCUCUGCCUCUCCCAGUUGGCCAUUCCUUAUACAGAAAUCACAGCACAAUUCAAGGACCCAGAAAGACCAGCAGUUCAAUUCCAAGAACGCUCAUCCUUUUAUGCUGCCAAAGCCACAAACCUGAAGAAACUUCCAAACCCAGAACGAAGAAAGAGAACCGCAGAAGGAAGUCGCAGUUGCCGGGAUUUCUUUCUGGUUUUGACAAGUUUGGGAAGGUUAUGAAAGAGAACCUAAGCCCACGGCAGAAGGGUGAUUGGAAGGACGUGAUGUUAAUGAGCUUAUCAUUUGCUGUUUAUGUGUACAUAUCACAAAAGAUUGUUUGUGCAUAUUGUGCUUGGAUGGCCAUGCCAAAGCAACCGUGAUGGUGAUUAUGAUGAUGCAGAGCUGGAUGGCCAGGAGUAGAUUUAGUAUAAGGACUUAG